GCCGAACGCUGGUGGCGUGCCUAAUACAUGCAAGUAGAACGCUGAAGAGAGGAGCUUGCUCUUCUUGGAUGAGUUGCGAACGGGUGAGUAACGCGUAGGUAACCUGCCUUGUAGCGGGGGAUAACUAUUGGAAACGAUAGCUAAUACCGCAUAACAAUGGAUGACACAUGUCAUUUAUUUGAAAGGGGCAAUUGCUCCACUACAAGAUGGACCUGCGUUGUAUUAGCUAGUAGGUGAGGUAACGGCUCACCUAGGCGACGAUACAUAGCCGACCUGAGAGGGUGAUCGGCCACACUGGGACUGAGACACGGCCCAGACUCCUACGGGAGGCAGCAGUAGGGAAUCUUCGGCAAUGGGGGCAACCCUGACCAAGCAACGCCGCGUGAGUGAAGAAGGUUUUCGGAUCGUAAAGCUCUGUUGUAAGUCAAGAACGAGUGUGAGAGUGGAAAGUUCACACUGUGACGGUAGCUUACCAGAAAGGGACGGCUAACUACGUGCCAGCAGCCGCGGUAAUACGUAGGUCCCGAGCGUUGUCCGGAUUUAUUGGGCGUAAAGCGAGCGCAGGCGGUUUGAUAAGUCUGAAGUUAAAGGCUGUGGCUCAACCAUAGUUUGCUUUGGAAACUGUCAAACUUGAGUGCAGAAGGGGAGAGUGGAAUUCCAUGUGUAGCGGUGAAAUGCGUAGAUAUAUGGAGGAACACCGGUGGCGAAAGCGGCUCUCUGGUCUGUAACUGACGCUGAGGCUCGAAAGCGUGGGGAGCGAACAGGAUUAGAUACCCUGGUAGUCCACGCCGUAAACGAUGAGUGCUAGGUGUUGGAUCCUUUCCGGGAUUCAGUGCCGCAGCUAACGCAUUAAGCACUCCGCCUGGGGAGUACGACCGCAAGGUUGAAACUCAAAGGAAUUGACGGGGGCCCGCACAAGCGGUGGAGCAUGUGGUUUAAUUCGAAGCAACGCGAAGAACCUUACCAGGUCUUGACAUCCCGAUGCUAUUUCUAGAGAUAGAAAGUUACUUCGGUACAUCGGUGACAGGUGGUGCAUGGUUGUCGUCAGCUCGUGUCGUGAGAUGUUGGGUUAAGUCCCGCAACGAGCGCAACCCCUAUUGUUAGUUGCCAUCAUUCAGUUGGGCACUCUAGCGAGACUGCCGGUAAUAAACCGGAGGAAGGUGGGGAUGACGUCAAAUCAUCAUGCCCCUUAUGACCUGGGCUACACACGUGCUACAAUGGUUGGUACAACGAGUUGCAAGUCGGUGACGGCAAGCUAAUCUCUUAAAGCCAAUCUCAGUUCGGAUUGUAGGCUGCAACUCGCCUACAUGAAGUCGGAAUCGCUAGUAAUCGCGGAUCAGCACGCCGCGGUGAAUACGUUCCCGGGCCU
rnacentral:rRNA from 1 species